GACGGGGGGGGCUAGCGUUGUUCGGAAUUACUGGGCGUAAAGCGCACGUAGGCGGCUUUACAAGUCAGGGGUGAAAGCCCGGAGCUCAACUCCGGAAUUGCCCUUGAGACUGUAUCGCUUGAACACGGGAGAGGUGAGUGGAAUUCCGAGUGUAGAGGUGAAAUUCGUAGAUAUUCGGAAGAACACCAGUGGCGAAGGCGGCUCACUGGACCGUUGUUGACGCUGAGGUGCGAAAGCGUGGGGAGCAAACAGG
rnacentral:rRNA from 1 species